GGAACUGGAGGCUUGGUUUGGGAAGCAGUUGGGUAGCUGGGCAGAGCAGAGCCCAAGCAGAUCUCAGCCCUUCCCCUGAGCAGGACUGGCCAGAGGCCAUGGUCAGAGGGAGCGGCUGGUUGUGUGACAGAGGGCACUCUAGGUAGUCCUCACCCCAUGCUGAACUUCGAGGUCCACGGAGACCCUGGCCCUGGGCUCCGCUUACGUUGCCGGCGGCUUGUAGGUGGAGGAGAUCCUCUGCUGGCGGAGGGAGAAAAUGUCAGAGCCGCGAAACUAGUUAACUAUUCCCGCGCAGAAAAGACAGUGAAAAUGAGGGAAGAAGGUUCAGACUGCAGAGCCCUGGAAGACAGCACAGGGGGAGGGACCUUCCAAUCUUCUUGAGUCGCAUAAGGGGGCCUGGGAGACGGGGCUCUGACCCCUGGCUAAGCUGGCGAAGCAGAAGAAAGAGGAGUCUGAGCCCACUACCACCACCCAUCAAUCUUGUCUGAACCCGACAAUAUCUUGUCCCAAGCCCAAGA
ensembl:lncRNA